CCCAGGCUUUCUGAUGCUUUCCAAACUGAAACCCAGGGCCCAUCUCAGUCAGAUGCUGAGGAGUGUGAUGAUCCCUGGACAGAAUAUUACUGAAAACAAGACUGCAGCUGGCUAAACCUGACCAGCAGGUCUCCUCUCCAAGGUCUGUUGCUGUUCUGAGGAGUCCCACAGGAUGUGUUCAUUAUUCCCAGCAAGGCAAAAGUUUUUCAGUGAGAAGGAGCAAGACUCAUGGUUGUUUCACAUUUAAUGAGCUCAAAGUAUCUCCUACUGAGGCUCCUCCAGAAGCUGAAGUGUGGCCCUUUCAGAGGAUGUGGAGCAACUCCUUGGCUGCUGCUCCAUUGCUGGUGAUUUGUGUGGGGCUGUGCCAGCUGUAGGAGGAACCUGUGAGCAGAAUGCUCAUCCUCUGACAGGGAAUGUUCCAUUCGCGUAAGUGAGGUCACUCCCAAAGAUUCACCUCCAGGAGGCACACCCUGCUCAGCUCCCUUGGCUCUGGCCUGGGCAAUUUGGAGAGCAAAUUGUCUCUCACCACUUCACUCCUCAGCCUUGUGGCAGCAAAGGCCUGGAGCUGCCCUUGUGGACAUCAAACCCAAUUCCUUCCUCUAAACCAAACCCACAGAAGAAUCUCAGAUUUUUGGGUUCUGGCUGUUGAAGCCAAAUACUCAAACUUAU